rnacentral:rRNA from 1 species
AUUGAACGCUGGCGGCAGGCCUAACACAUGCAAGUCGAGCGAGCGGCGGACUGGUGAGUAAUGUCUGGGAAACUGCCUGAUGGAGGGGGAUAACUACUGGAAACGGUAGCUAAUACCGCAUACCAUCAGAGGUGCCCAGAUGGGAUUAGCAAGUGGGUGGGGUAAUGGCUCACCUGGGCGACGAUCCCUAGCUGGACUGGGAGGAUGACCAGCCACACUGGACCUGAGACACGGUCCAGACUCCUACGGGAGGCAGCAGUGGGGAAUAUUGCACAAUGGGCGCAAGCCUGAUGCAGCCAUGCCGGGGGUGUGAAGAAGGCCUUCGGGUUGUAAAGCACUUUCAGCGAGGAGGCGUUACUCGCAGAAGAAGCACCGGCUAACUCCGUGCCAGUAGUCGCGGUAAUUC